AUGUUGAUUUUUUUGUGCUGCUUCUGUUAUUGUUUAUUAAGAGGGUUCUCGAGUGCCAGGCUCUGCUCAGGUUUUCCCCAGCUCUGUUGGAAGGGGCAACACAGCUGUGCCUCCAAGAAGGUGAUGCAAAGCCCCCUGCCUCCCAAAAAGGAGUCUGAUGCCUUGGGUCAUGGGAGGCUGGCUACAAGAGACUGCAAAGCAGCAGCUUUGACGAGGACAACACAAAGCCUCCAGCCCUUAGAAGCCACCUCUAAGAAAUGCAGCCAGUGAUGAGCAACACAAGCUACAAAUGCAGAAGCUGUUGCUGGUCCGGGCAGUGUUUUCUACCAAGCUUCAGAGCAGAGCAAGUGACUGAAUCACACUGGCAUGACCCUGGCUGUAAAGCGUGAUUUUGGGGCAGCUGACAUUGAUUCUUUCACCUGCCUUCUCCUGCCUUUGCAAGCUGGCACGAGGGUCCUUUCAGCAUGCAUCAAGAGCAGUGCUGUGACUGAGUUGUGAAACACCUGGUGUAAGCAAUACCAGAAAAGGGUGUAAGCCUAUCGGGGACAUCUGAACAUGGCACCUUUUCAAAAUACCAAAUGACCCAUGCUAGCUGAUUGGGUUUACUACAAUAUUUCAUUAGGACAGAAGAACAGAUAAUGGUUUUCUUGUUCUGGGAAACCACUUUUUUUAAAUUCACUGUUCAUUCCCAAACCAGGUCAAACAGUCAACAGAGAAAAUUUCUUCAACAUGGUCACCACUAAUAGUAAGAAAGAAUGGGGUUCACUGAAAUAUUUGAGCAUAAAAGUGGUUCAUUUUUGUUUGACCAUUGUAUUUUUACUUUUCUUCAAUUUCAAUAAAUUUGCCUAAAUAAAAACA
rnacentral:lncRNA from 1 species